rnacentral:lncRNA from 1 species
CUGUCUCGGCCCUGUCGGGGGCUCCCCACGCACGGAGUCGGGCCGCCGCCUCACGCCCUUGUCCGGACCCCGGGGGGCCGCAGGACACCAUCAGGCACCGCGGCCGCCCCCACCCCAGGCCUGGGACCGCGCCUCACCCACCGGCCUCCGGGACACAGGGCGGACUCGGCCCGCUGCCGCUGCCCCUGCCGCCGCCGCCAUCGACGCCGUGUCCCGGACCAGGCGGACAGGGUGACGACGCCCCUCGGUCCUCGGCCUGAGGCGUCCGCAGCGAGGCCCCUAAGGCCCGACGGUGCCCUGAGCCGGACGGGCUCUGACUGGAUUCCCAGCCGCGGCCACCGCGCUGGGCCGCCGGGGGGCUCCGAGGGCGCAUGCGCCGGGGGCGCUCCUGCAGCCGGCCUCCCGCAUGCGCAGUGGGGCUCCCGGGCUCCGCGCCGAGCCUUAACCCUUCCAGCCCCGAGGGAGACUAAGGGGGCUUGGAACAGCGCGGCCCGCACUGCGAAGAGCCCCCGGCGGCCACGCACAGGCCGCCUCUGCCAUGUCGGGGGCUCCGGGCGCCCAGAGCCCGGCCGGGCGGGUGGGGCGCGACUUCAGUUCAGAAGCUCCGGAGGCCGCCCCGGUGCGAGCAGCCGCCGCCUCCCGCAGCCGCAGCACCUCGCGCUCCCGCUCCCGCCAGGGCCGGGCCAAGGGAGGAGGGCUCUGGCCGCAGGUAGCGCAGCCGCGGCGGGCGGUGCGCGGGAGGGGCCGAUGGUCUCAAUAAGAAGGUUAGGCUGCCCAAACCUGUUGUCCACACUAACAUCUUUUUCUCCGAGAGCUACCUUGACUCCCGUUUUCCUUCAGCCUGCAUCACCGGGUUUUAUACAAAUGCCUAUGUUCACCAGAAAUAGUCAGUGCUGGAUUGAUGGAAAAUGUAUGCGUCAACCCAGAUUGACCUUACGUGUACAUAUGCAUAUGCAUAUAUGAAGUGCUCAUGCAUUUUGACUAUGAAGAGACCCCCUCCCUGUCUUCCUUAUUCUCUGCACUUGCUUCCUUCAUUCUACAAGGCCAUGGAAAUUUUGUGGACGGAGUGGGAGCGUAAAGUGAUAGAGCCAUCUUGGAAACUUCUCCAGCAGGAGCUUUGGGAGGUAAACUUUAUGAUCUUCAUACUUUCAGAACCAGUAGUUCUGCCCCAGGAUAUAUAGCCAGUGUAUACUCUUCACCAAAAGACUAAAAUAUUUGUAGCAGAGCUGUGUGAUAAACUCCAAAUGAGAAACUCCCAAAUUCUCAUUAAUGAUAGAGUGCUUUGUGUUUAUUCAUACAUUGGAAUGCUAUGUAGCAAAGGGAAUGAAUGAUGUGUAGCUUCUCGUAGCAGCAGGGAUGGAUUUCACGAGUAUGUUGAAUGAAGUAAGGCAGACUCAGAAUACUGUGCUGUAUCUCUUUGUAUGUUUCAUAUGUGCCCUGCUCUAUGGAGUCACAAGUCGGAUAGUGGCAGACCUCUUCACGAUUAGUUUAUACAGUGAUUAAUUGUUCUGAUGGUUUCAGAUAAAACUUCACCUGUAUUCACAGUGACUACUUUAAAUCAGGUGUGCCAAACUCUUGAAAAGGUAAAAUUAAUGUGAAUCUUGUACAAAUGGAAAGCUUAUAUUUUAAGGCCUUUGUGAGUUAGGACAGUUAACUGAUAAAAUCAUUAACAGUAGAGUUCAUUACCAGAUGAUUGAAAACUACAGACUUACAUUUUUUCUAAGGCCUGGCCUGAGAUUAUUACCUUAGGGCGCCUCCUGGCAAACACCCUGAGGCAUGGGGUGUGAUGGUGAAACCAAAGGCUACAGCAUGUGAAAGAGCCACCACGUCCCUGGGCUUUCUGGAAGCCAUAGCCCCGGGAAGUCAGCAGGCAGUAAUAGAACAUCUUUCACUAGCAGAUGUCUCCAGCCAAGUGAGCCUGAUGUGAGGCUGCAGUAGAAUGUGGGUGCCUGGUUGCAGGGGUUCCGAGUUCUGUUGGGCUCUGUUGUCAAAGAAGUGACCUCACUGCCCUACCUGUGUCCACUCUUGGUUGAACCUUCAGUGUUGUCUUUUCACUUUCCCUCUAUCCCUACACUGUGGAGUUUUUUCAUCAAGAAAGGGUGCUGUACUUGGUCAUGUGCUUUUUCUGCAUCUAUUGAGAGGAUCAUAUGGUUCUUGUCCUUCGUUUUAUUUUAUUUUUUUUAAAUAAUUAUUUAUUUAUUUAUGAUAGUCACAAAGAGAGAGAGAGAGAGGCAGAGACACAGGCAGAGGGAGAAGCAGGCUCCAUGCACCGGGAACCCGAUGUGGGAUUCGAUCCCGGGUCUCCAGGAUCGCGCCCCGGGCCAAAGGCUGGCGCCAAACCGCUGCGCCACCCAGGGAUCCCCUGUCCUUCGUUUUAUUGAUGUGAUCUCUCACAUUGAUUGAUUUGCAGAUGAUGAACAACUCUUGCAGCCCAGGAAUAAAUCCCACGACGUGGUGGUGAAUAAUCCUUUUAAUGUACUGUGGGAUCCUGUUAGCUAGUUGUUUGGUGAGAAAUUCUGCAUCCAUGUUCAUCAGGGAUAUUGGCCUAUCAUUCUUUUGUUGUGGGGUUUUUGUCUGGUUUUGGGAUCAAGGUAAUGCUGGCCUUCUAAAAAGAGUUUGGAACUCUUUUCCUAUUUUACUCCAUUUCUAUUUUUUGAAACAGAUUCAGAAGAAUAGGUAGUAUUUCUUUAGAUGUUUAGUAGAAUUCCUCUGGGAAGCCUUUUCUUUGAUCAGGAGGUUAUCGAUCUUAUUCUCUUCAAGCUCACAGGAAUCUCUUAUAAGCAGCAUAUCAGUCUUGUGAUCUUGUGUACAGUCUUUGUUUUCUGUUUCAUCGAUUCCUGCUCAAGUUUAUUAUUUGUCUUCUCUUGCUGGUUUUUGGCUUUUUUUUUGCUGUUCUUUCUCUACCUCCUUUUGGUAUAAGGUUAGGUUGUGUAUUUGAGACCUUCUUGUUUCUUGAGAAGGGCUUGUUGCGGUAUACUUCCUUCUUAGGACUGCCUUAUCUCCCUGCUGACUGUAUUGAACAGUUGUGUUAUUAUUUUCAUUUUCUUCCAUGAAUUUUUAAAAUUCUUCUUUAAUUUCCUUGUUGACCCUUUCAUUCUUUAGUAAGAUGCUGUCUAGCCUCCAUGUAUUGCAGUUCUUUCCAAAUUGCUUCUUCUGAUUGAGUUGCUUCAAAGCACUGUGGUCUGAAAGUACACUGGUCUCCCUGUGCAACACUGGCAAUAGACCUAAAGUACCACGACGUGUAAUUUAAAAGCAUCAGAGUUAGUUUUUGUCCGAAGUUAACUUAUCCUUUAUUACAAACAAAAUGCAUGAAGGAAUUAUAGACGUUGAUGACAACCACAACAAAAAUUAGACAGCGCAAUGAGAGGGGAGGGGAAGCCUUCUGUUGGGGUGCAGCCAUGAUCAGCUGCUGCUUGAGGCAGAGGCUGGCUGCUCCAGUAAGGCAGGUGGAUGCACCGGCCCUUCGAUGAACUCGAGGCCGGGCACUGAGGCCUGCCUCACAUUUUGGAGGGGCCAGGGGUGCAGGCAGCACCUCCAGGUGGGGACAGUGAAUCAGAAGUGUGACCAACACCUGCAGUGGCUUCGACUCAACAGGUGCCAUCUCGGCCCCUGGCAAGCACUCAACUCCAGCAGCCUUGACUGGCUCAAUCACCUCUGGCCCUGAAGCUUCAGCAGGCCCCGUGGUAGGAGCUGGGGCAGGCUGUUGAGGUGGUUUGGGAUCUUGCUCAGGAGCAGAAGCUAGUUGC